rnacentral:rRNA from 1 species
CGUAGGGGGCAAGCGUUGUCCGGAUUAUUGGGCGUAAAGAGCUCGUAGGCGGCUCGGUAAGUCGGAUGUGAAACCUCCAGGCUCAACCUGGAGACGCCAUCUGAUACCGCCGUGGCUUGAGUCCGGUAGAGGAGCAGGGAAUUCCUGGUGUAGCGGUGAAAUGCGCAGAUAUCAGGAGGAACACCAGCGGCGAAGGCGCUGCUCUGGGCCGGUACUGACGCUGAGGAGCGAAAGCGUGGGGAGCGAACAGGAUUAGAUACCCUGGUAGUCCACGCCGUAAACGUUGGGCACUAGGUGUGGGACCCCAUCGACGGGUUCUGUGCCGUAGCUAACGCAUUAAGUGCCCCGCCUGGGGAGUACGGCCGCAAGGCUA